CAGCAGCCGCGGUAAUACGGAGGGUGCAAGCGUUAAUCGGAAUUACUGGGCGUAAAGCGUGCGUAGGCGGCUUUUUAAGUCGGAUGUGAAAUCCCUGAGCUUAACUUAGGAAUUGCAUUCGAUACUGGGAAGCUAGAGUAUGGGAGAGGAUGGUAGAAUUCCAGGUGUAGCGGUGAAAUGCGUAGAGAUCUGGAGGAAUACCGAUGGCGAAGGCAGCCAUCUGGCCUAAUACUGACGCUGAGGUACGAAAGCAUGGGGAGCAAACAGGAUUAGAUACCCCGGUAGUCCCUGUCUCUUAUAC
rnacentral:rRNA from 1 species